rnacentral:pre_miRNA from 1 species
CCUCGACUUUAACAUUGGAGGUACUUGCUGGAUGAUUAAAAAGUAAGUGCUUCCAUGUUUUAGUUGUGG